CCCAUCCCUCAUUAUGGAACCCAGGAGGUGAUGAGAAACUGUCUCAUGACAGGCUCCCAGGAGAGAUGGCAGGCGGAGGGCAGAUGGCCUCAGAGCAGCUUCUCCCAGCCUCCCGUCCUUCCCUGCUGCAGGAGGAUCACAAGGUGUUCUGUCCAGAUACAGGUGAAAAACUCAAGGCCCAGUCUUGUCAGCAGAAGGAGAAGCUGCCUAUUCAAUCACAGUUAGAGCCACUGAGGGAUGACAAGCCUUUUUGUCUACCCCCUUCCGGUGGAAAUUCCAACCACUCUCUAAAAUUAUUGACAAUGUCUGAGCAAUGAAAGAUGGAAAGGAAGGGGUGAAAUAGAAUAUACCAACUGGCUAAGCUGAGAGUGGCACUGACUUCAGGCAGAACCUCUCAGCAUUACAGAUGCCGUCAGCACACUAGAAAUCGAUCAGAC